UGGUAGCCCUUUCUUUAAGAUCCCCUGAGCACCUCCUGUAAGAAAUUGAAGCCCAAGGGAAGACAGGAAUGGUAGCAGUAGUAACAACAGCAGCAGCAGCAACAGAAAUAAUAUUAAUAAUUAUAAUACUUCCUCUUCUAGAGUUCCUGGAGCAGGAAUCUACUCUGUUACCGCUGAGUUUUUCACAAGUUGAUGUUUAGAGCUACUGUUCUCUUUUCUUUUUUCUUUUUUUUUUUAGGGCCGCACCCACAUCAUAUGGAGGUUCCCAGUUUAGGGGUCUAAUGAGAACUAUAGCUGCUGGCCGACACCACAGCCACAGCAACACCCGAUCUGAGUCUCGUCUGCAGUCUACACCCCAGCUCACAGCAAUGCCGGAUCCUUAACCCACUGAGCAAGGCCAGGGAUUGAUCUUGCAUCCUCUUAGACUCUAUGUCGGGUGCUUAACCACUGAGCCACAAUGGGAACUCCUAGAGCUUGAAUCUCGAAUCAGAGAAUGAAAUGCCUGCUCCAAAAGGGCUCAAGACCCUUCUACCCUGCAGAGGAGCCCCCAAGCCUAAGCACCUGUGAUGCGUUAGCAAGCUGGUCUCCUCUAGUCCCCAUGGCGUGAAGCUCUGAGCUCCAUCACCACUCACCUUCUAGCCUUCGAAACCUGCAUUCCGAAUCUGUGUUAUGAUUGUGUUGAUCCAAGGCAUUCGUGCAGCCUGACGGCAUGGCCCAGGGGCCCUAGGUUCAAUGGCCACUGAAAUGGGCUGAUCUGGCUUGGUCUCAAUGUCACAGGUUCAGCUCAAAGAGAGAUGGUGGAGAACAAGUUACAAGAGCCCCUUUCCCGCCCCCCGUCCCCACGGAGAGCCUGGUGGGUGGAGAGCUUUGCUGGCCCAGUUCCCGGUUCUGGUCCCUUAUUUACCAGGCAUGUCCGUGUUUUGAAUUCCAAGAUGAGCCCAUUGGACGGGGGGUUGAAUGUCAGCCUUAGUAUCCAGGAGCUUGGGUCCUAAUCUCUGCCUGUCCACAGAAUAGUUAAUCCGGUUAACUUUUCUGCACUUCAGAAAGGAUCUGAGACACGGCUGGGUGGGUGCUUAGCUGCUGCUGAAGGAAGGUGGUGCGGGAUUUCCCAGUUAAUCUCUCAGGGAGCCCACCCCCAUUUCCAUCUCCUUCUCUCUUGUUUAUCCUUCAGGAAGGGUAGGUCUCCCUUUUUCCUGGAAGACACUAGAGGGUCACAGGGUGUGGGAAAAUAGCGGGAGAGGAUGAGACCUGGGUGGCUGGUCUGCAGGUGGGGUGAGCUAGGGGGUUGGGGCUGAAGAGCUUUGAGGUGCAAGCAGAUCCAAUUGCCUUGUGCUAAGAGGACCAUGGAAGAUGCCUCUGAAAGAAGGGUCUGGAGCCCUUUCAGAGGAGGCCUUUCAUUCUCUGAUUCAAGAUGCAAGAUGGGGAGCUCUAGGAGUUCCUGUUGAGGCUCAGCGGGUUAGGAACCUGACAUAGAGUCCAAGAGGAUGCAAGUUCAAUCCAAUGUUGCUGUGGCUGUGGUGUAGGCUAGCAGCUACACGCUUCCGCUGAGCCUACAUGUGAAGGAACUCAAACCAGCGAGGCCAGGGCAGCCAGAGUCUGCAGAUACUCCACUAAGAGGGGGCUGUACCCCUCCGCUCCUUGGAAUGGGUGUCAUUUCAUCUUUCUGGACACGGAAGGGAAAAAGACCAAGAACCUCUUGGAAAGCCGUCUAGUUGGGAAGCUCUCGGGGAAGAAGAGAUUUGUCAUGACAUUCUCAGGGGGCUUGGAGGGGCGGAUUUCACACGGAUGGAGAGAAGAGACUUGAGCGCGAGAGGUUGAGGACAGGAGGAUAAUGAAGAGAGUGGUAAGCUUGUGGAAAGACCUUGGCUCACUAGCUGUGUGAACUUGGGCAAAGCACCUUACGUAUCUGCGCCUCAGUAUGCAAGUCUCUGAAAUGAUACAAUAAUAAUUCCUGCCUUCGUUACUUUUCAAGGUAUGUAAUGUGUUUGUGAGGUCUAUGAAAUUGGUAAGGGGCUAUAAAAUGUUCGAUUUAUUUUUUUUUAAGAUGACUGCUUGGACAGCAGAAAUCAGUUACUGAUGAGGAUUUUUUUAUACACAGGGAUGCGUAAACAGUUGCAGAGUUUGAAGGCUUUGCGGCUUUUCAAUCACAUGGAGUCAAUACCUGUGUAUAUAAAUCGGUAUAGCAAUUAUCAUUUAUCUGAGUGUUUUUAACAGGUUCAUUGAUACUUCUUGUGGGGGUAGAGGACCGUGCAUGGUCCCCAGGAAAGCAUGAGCUUCCUGUGGGCAGGAAAGAGGCCUCUCCCUUUGCUGGUGCUCUUUCGGUGCCCCGUGUAAAGGGCUAUGUUCUAUGUGGAUGGCUGAUCAAUCAAUUGAUUAACGGACUAGGAAUAGGGAUGGGCUUGCACAGACAUGGCAAUAGGUUUGCUAGUUUCUUAACCAAUAAUAUGCUGUGAAGUCCCCGGAGGUGGCAUCUAUACAUGCCAAGUGAAUGAAAGCAGGGAACUCUAUGGCAAAUGGUGCUAUUUUUCUGGUGCUUACCCUGAACGUGAAUGAGAGGUAUGAUGUGGUUCAGCCUUCCUUUAUCCCAUGAAGUUUUGGCUCUUCUACUUCAAAACAGAGAAAUCAUGAAGGAGUCACUUUGCCCUCUGAUUCUUAGUUUGCUGAUCUGUGAAGCUGAAAUUCUAAUGGGUACCUUGCAGCUAUUGUGUGGAUUGCAAAUAGUAUAUGUAAAGACCCUAGUUCAGUUGCCUGGAACAGAAGGAUGCUUGAUAAACAUUCUCCUUCUUGUUGCUUUGAUACUGAUACAGAUUCAACGCAAGAUCACACUUGGUAGGUGCAGAAACCAGCAUUCAUGUUAUCUGACUAUUAGCUCCCCUGGCAGACAAAGGGCCAUCUUUCCCAUGUACCUGCCACUCGCUACAUGGCUCAUGCAUCUGUUCCAUUGUCCUCAGUUUCAUAGCUCCUAAGGAUGAUAUUUCUACACUUCAGCUGACCCCAGAGGAGCCACUGGGGGAUUCUUCUGUCACAUAUCAGUUAUUCCUUGCUUCACCCAUCAAUCAAGCAUUUAUUAAGAACCUACUGUGUUCCAGGUAUUAUGAUGGGCAUUUUGAGAUACCUCUAGGCCAGUAACACUAAGCUCAGGACAUAAACAAACAUAACAAGAACCUAGUUUCAAAGGCAACCCACAAGAUCUUGAUAAUAAAGUAAGUUCCUACUGACCCCCUGGCCACUGCCCGCAAAGAAGAAUUUUUAACUCAUUGCGAGGCUAAGAUGCUCUCAUUCCUUUUUUUGUUGUUGUUGGUGGUGGUGGUGCCUUCUUUUCCAAAGCCAGCAAAGAGAAAGAGAUGGAAAAUAGGCCUGAAGAAAAGAUGCUCUACAAUUUAAACUUGAGAUGAGGGGUCAGCAAAAUUUUCCUGUAAAGAGCUAGAUAGUGAGUAUUUUGGGCUCUGUGAAUUGUAAGGUUUCUGUUGCAGCUACUCAACUCUAAUGGGAUAGCAUGAGAUCACUGUAGAUAAUAUGUAAAUGAAUGAGCAUGGCUAUGAACCAAUAUUAUUUAUAAAAACAAGCAUAAAAACUGCAAAACCCUUCUGAAAAAAUUUUUAAAAUAAAUGAAUGGAGAGAUAGACCAUGUUCAUGGAUUGGAAGACUCAAUAUUGUUAAGAUAUAAAUAAAUACUUCCUAACUUGACCUGUAGAUUCACUCCAAUUCCAGUCCAAAUCUCAGCAAGCUAUUUUGUCAGUAUUGCUAAACUGAUUCUAAGGUUUAUAUGAAAAGGCAAGGGAUCUCAUUGCACUGAAGAAGAAAGACAUGAUUGGAAGAAUCCUAUCACCAGAUUUCAAA
rnacentral:lncRNA from 1 species